rnacentral:rRNA from 1 species
UACGUAGGGGGCAAGCGUUGUCCGGAAUCAUUGGGCGUAAAGCGCGUGUAGGCGGCCCGGAAAGUCGGAUGUGAAAGCCCUGGGCUUAACCCAGGAAGUGCAUUCGAAACUCCCGGGCUUGAGUUCUGGAGAGGAAGGCGGAAUUCUCGGUGUAGAGGUGAAAUUCGUAGAUAUCGAGAGGAACACCGGUGGCGAAGGCGGCCUUCUGGACAGUGACUGACGCUGAGACGCGAAAGCGUGGGGAGCAAACAGG